AUUCCAGCUCCAAUAGCGUAUAUUAAUGUUGUUGCAGUUAAAAAGCUCGUAGUUGGAUUCCUGGCACGGGGUAGCCGGUCCGCCUUGCAAAAGGUGCGCACUGAGCGGCCUCGGCCAUCCUUGCGAUGGUCUAUCCUGGCAUUCAGUUGUCGGGGUGGGGAUUCGCGACGUUUACUGUGAAAAAAUCAGAGUGUUCAACGCAGGCUUACGCCUUGAAUACAUUAGCAUGGAAUAAUGAGAUAGGACCUUGGCGGUCUAUUUUGUUGGUUUGCACGCCGAGGUAAUGAUUAAAAGGGACGGUUGGGGUUCUACGUAUUCAAUUGUCAGAGGUGAAAUUCUUGGAUUUAUGGAAGACGAACUGCUGCGAAAGCGUCGAACAAGGACGUUCUCAUUA
rnacentral:rRNA from 1 species